rnacentral:rRNA from 1 species
GAUGAACGCUGACAGAAUGCUUAACACAUGCAAGUCUUUGGCGAAGCUGUGCUUGCACAGCCUAGCCAAGGCGGACGGGUGAGUAACGCGUAAGGAACUUGCCUUGCAGUCAGGGAUAACAGACGGAAACGACUGAUAAGACCUGGUAAAGUCAGGCGGACUCAUGUCCAGCCUGAUGAAAAGAGAUGCUGCAGGAGAGCCUUGCGUCCUAUUAGCUUGUUGGUGGGGUAACGGCCCACCAAGGCGAUGAUAGGUAGCCGGCCUGAGAGGGUGGACGGCCACAAGGGGACUGAGAUACGGCCCUUACUCCUACGGGAGGCAGCAGUGGGGAAUAUUGGACAAUGGGGGCAACCCUGAUCCAGCAAUUCUGUGUGCACGAUGAAGGUUUUCGGAUUGUAAAGUGCUUUCAGCAGGGAAGAAAAAAAUGACGGUACCUGCAGAAGAAGCGACGGCUAAAUACGUG